GCGAACGCUGGCGGCAGGCUUACACAUGCAAGUCGAACGGGCCCUUCGGGGUCAGUGGCAGACGGGUGAGUAACACGUGGGAACGUGCCCUUCGGUUCGGAACAACUCAGGGAAACUUGAGCUAAUACCGGAUACGCCCUUCGGGGGAAAGAUUUAUCGCUGAAGGAUCGGCCCGCGUCUGAUUAGCUAGUUGGUGAGGUAAUGGCUCACCAAGGCGACGAUCAGUAGCUGGUCUGAGAGGAUGAUCAGCCACACUGGGACUGAGACACGGCCCAGACUCCUACGGGAGGCAGCAGUGGGGAAUAUUGGACAAUGGGCGCAAGCCUGAUCCAGCCAUGCCGCGUGAGUGAUGAAGGCCUUAGGGUUGUAAAGCUCUUUCGUCCGGGACGAUAAUGACGGUACCGGAAGAAGAAGCCCCGGCUAACUUCGUGCCAGCAGCCGCGGUAAUACGAAGGGGGCUAGCGUUGCUCGGAAUCACUGGGCGUAAAGGGCGCGUAGGCGGCCAUUCAAGUCAGAGGUGAAAGCCCAAGGCUCAACCUUGGAAUUGCCUUUGAUACUGUUUGGCUUGAGACCGGAAGAGGUAAGUGGAACUGCGAGUGUAGAGGUGAAAUUCGUAGAUAUUCGCAAGAACACCAGUGGCGAAGGCGGCUUACUGGUCCGGUUCUGACGCUGAGGCGCGAAAGCGUGGGGAGCAAACAGG
rnacentral:rRNA from 1 species